GCAUGCGGGCGGCAGGCUACCAUGCAGUCGAGCGGUAGCACAGAGAGCUUGCUCUCGGGUGACGAGCGGCGGACGGGUGAGUAAUGUCUGGGAAACUGCCUGAUGGAGGGGGAUAACUACUGGAAACGGUAGCUAAUACCGCAUAACGUCGCAAGACCAAAGUGGGGGACCUUCGGGCCUCAUGCCAUCAGAUGUGCCCAGAUGGGAUUAGCUGGUAGGUGGGGUAACGGCUCACCUAGGCGACGAUCCCUAGCUGGUCUGAGAGGAUGACCAGCCACACUGGAACUGAGACACGGUCCAGACUCCUACGGGAGGCAGCAGUGGGGAAUAUUGCACAAUGGGCGCAAGCCUGAUGCAGCCAUGCCGCGUGUGUGAAGAAGGCCUUCGGGUUGUAAAGCACUUUCAGCGGGGAGGAAGGCGGUGAGGUUAAUAACCUCAUCGAUUGACGUUACCCGCAGAAGAAGCACCGGCUAACUCCGUGCCAGCAGCCGCGGUAAUACGGAGGGUGCAAGCGUUAAUCGGAAUUACUGGGCGUAAAGCGCACGCAGGCGGUCUGUCAAGUCGGAUGUGAAAUCCCCGGGCUCAACCUGGGAACUGCAUUCGAAACUGGCAGGCUAGAGUCUUGUAGAGGGGGGGUAGAAUUCCAGGGUGUAGCGGUGAAAUGCGUAGAGAUCUGGAGGGAAUACCGGUGGCGAAGGCGGCCCCCUGGACAAAGACUGACGCUCAGGUGCGAAAGCGUGGGGAGCAAACAGGAUUAGAUACCCUGGUAGUCCACGCUGUAAACGAUGUCGAUUUGGAGGUGUGCCCUUGGGGCGUGGCUUCCCGGAGGCUAACGCGUUAAAUCGACCGCCUGGGGGAGUACGGCCGCCAAGGUUAAACCUCCAAAUGGUAUGACCGGGGGCCCGCACAAGCGUGAAGCAUGGGGUUUAUUCGAUUGCAACGCCGAGAACCUUACCUGGUCUGACAUCCACGAACUUACAGAGAAUGCAUUGGUGCCUCGGGAACUGGAAGACAAGGGCUGGCAAUGCUGUCCUCAGCUCUGGUUGGUAAUGUGGUAAAGUCCCCGACACGAGGGCAACCCUAUAUCUUUGUUGCCCACGGU
rnacentral:rRNA from 1 species